AAAACAUUAAUGCGCAACAUUAAUAUCCGAGAACCAAUAACCACAAGAAACAUCCAUAAAUAAUGCAUAACUUUAUGUUUCUUUAUUAUUUAGAUACAAACGAAUGUCUACCAGAUUCGCCUUGCCAUGCGAAUGCAACAUGUAACAACACACAAGGAUCGUACUUCUGUACAUGUGAUUCUGGCUACAGUGGUGAUGGAUUUACAUGCAAUGGUAAGUUAUAUACAGCAGAAAUAUAGGAGGGGAAAUGACCACAACAAACAUCUCCAAAUAAUGGAUAAUUUAUGUUUCUGUAUUACUUAGAUACAAACGAAUGUCUACCAGAUUCACCUUGCCAUGCGAAUGCAACAUGUAAUAACACCGAAGGAUCUUACCUCUGCACGUGUGAUUCUGGAUACAGUGGUGAUGGAUUUGCAUGCAAUG